rnacentral:tRNA from 1 species
GGGCCGUUAGCUCAACUGGCAGAGCAGCUGACUCUUAAUCAGCGGGCUGGAGGUUCGACUCCUCCACGGCUCACCU